rnacentral:misc_RNA from 1 species
UCCGAGUUGACCCCGGCAGUCUCCCGCGAGUCCCCACCAUUACGUGCUGGCAACACAGGACAAGGGUUGCGCUCGUUGCGGGACUUAACCCAACAUCUCACGACACGAGCUGACGACAGCCAUGCACCACCUGCAUCGGACCCUAAAAGGACCCCCCAUCACUGGAGGAUUUCCCGACAUGUCAAGCCCAGGUAAGGUUCUUCGCGUCGCAUCGAAUUAAACCACAUGCUCCACCGCUUGUGCGGGCCCCCGUCAAUUCCUUUGAGUUUCAGCCUUGCGGCCGUACUCCCCAGGCGGGGCACUUAAUGCGUUAGCUCCGACACCGAAUGCGUCUAUACACCCGACAUCUAGCACACAUCGUUUACGGCAUGGACUAC